rnacentral:rRNA from 1 species
GACGUAGGGCGCGAGCGUUGUCCGGAUUUAUUGGGCGUAAAGAGCUCGUAGGCGGUCUGUCGCGUCGGCUGUGAAAUCCCGAGGCUCAACCUCGGGUCUGCAGUCGAUACGGGCAAACUAGAGUAUUGCAGGGGAGACUGGAAUUCCUGGUGUAGAGGUGAAAUUCGUAGAUAUCGGGAGGAACACCUGUGGCGAAGGCGGCCAUCUGGACAACUACUGACACUGAGACGCGAAAGCGUGGGUAGCAAACAGG